rnacentral:rRNA from 1 species
CCUACGGGGGGCAGCAGGCGCGAAAACUUUACAAUGCGGGCAACCGCGAUAAGGGGACCUCGAGUGCUGGGUUACAAACCUGGCUGUUGGGCUGCCUAAAAAGCAGUCUAUAGCAAGGGCCGGGCAAGACCGGUGCCAGCCGCCGCGGUAACACCGGCGGCUCGAGUGGUAACCGCUAUUAUUGGGUCUAAAGGGUCUGUAGCCGGCCGACUAAGUCUCUUGGGAAAUCUGGCAUCUCAAGUGUCAGGCUGCCAGGGGAUACUGGUCGGCUUGGGACCGGGAGAGGUGAGAGGUACCUCGGGGGUAGGGGUGAAAUCUUGUAAUCCUCGAGGGACCACCAGUGGCGAAGGCGUCUCACCAGAACGGAUCCGACGGCAAGGGACGAAAGCUAGGGGCACGAACCGGAUUAGAUACCCGCGUAGUCC